rfam:Bacillus sp. VT-16-64 NODE_166, whole genome shotgun sequence.
ACGGUGUUCCGCUGCAAGAUUGAACGUUUGCAUGAGCAUCGG